UCAUGCUUAGUUUUCCAUGUUAACUCUGAAGUUCCACAUUGAUCAUAAUCCCACACCCAGAAGAACAACGUAAUACACCUCAACAAAUUUUGUGUCUACUUCAGCUGUGAUGUGAAAUCCGUUGCCAGCCAGGAGUUUGAGGAAUACCGCUUUUUUAUUGUCCCAACGCCAACUGCCAUCUUCCACAAGAUCUGGUUCAUUUAACACGUCAUUUCAGGCAGCCAUUCACGGAAAGGUCAUUCCUCAAUCGUUUCUCUAACCCCUUAUAUUGGGAGGAUAAUAAACCUCCAUUUGUAGUCGAUAGCACAUCGUAAGCUGCAAUAGAAGUAAAAAACCCUUUCAGAUGUCUUUUUUGAAGAAGUGGGACAAGGGACUAGUUUGGUUCCACUGACUACAUUUGAUAUACUUCCAUCCAUUUUUCAAGAACUCUAAUUGGUGGAAUGGCUUUAGUAAUGGCAGAGGCCACGCAGGAAAUGGCAGACUGUGAGAGAGAGCUAGAUCUAAUUUAAGGGUGUAAUGCGAGAAUAGUAACAACAUUUGAUAAACUUCAUUCCAUUUCUUAGACAGACGUGACUGCAAUUUCAUUGAACCAUUUAACAAAAAGUGAGGCUUAAUACCAUAUCUCUUCGUCGCAAGAAAAACAUAAAUUACCAUGAAUAAUUUAAUUUUUAUCAUCCAUUAUCAUUGAACUCAUGCAAAUAAUAAUUUGUAAGAAUAUUUAACAAGUUCACAGAAAACAAGAAAAACAGGAAACUGAGAGGGAGGGAUAACCAUAUUCCGCACAAUGUCUAAAACAUCUAUGCCCCACAUUCUCUCCGUCCCUUGCACCCCGCGGUGACUUACAAAUUUGCUCCACAAUCUAACAUCUCCAGAUUCCAAGAGGAACACCUAGGACAGUCUAAUACUCUCUUCUCACUAGCUCUCCAGUCCCAUCUUCUAAGUAGAGCUCUCCGGUUAUGGAUUUCAUGCUUUGCACUUAAAUCACAACCUCGAAAUGUCAAUAUGUAUUGAACCCAAGUCCCUGACUUCUUCAAUCCAUUAUUGGGUUCAUUAAAGCAUAAAUUUUCUCUUCCUAUCACAACACGUGUGGAAUGGUUCCACAAGGCAAAGAAGUUUUCCCAAGAACAGGCUUCUCUUUAGAAUCCCAUUAUCCCACUUAUCCACGUCUAACUUGACCGUGCUCCUUAAUUUCCGAUGCCUUGGUAGUUGGUAUGUUCCCUUUUUCCUAGGUUGAUGUAACAUGUUAUACUACCUUUGUAUGAUCCCGCUCUUACAAAGUAAAAAUUGCAAAUUUGUAGCAUGAAGUAAAAAGCCAAACUUGCACAUUUGUUGCACAAAGAACAAUAAUAAACAACAAAAAAUUCAUUGAAAUGUGAAGCUAGGUUUGGAGAUUAUUAGGUAACAGAAAAUCAAGUAUAGCAUGAAAUAACCAUGAGGCUCUUGCAGGAAAAAGAACCCUGAAAGACUGAUUAAAAAAAAAGUUCCUGUGUGAAAGUCGGGGAAUGAAUGCUUUGUAACAACAAAGCUUCUGUUGAAGUAGUCAUAGCUGCACCAUCAAUGGUUGAUGCUUCUAGUGAGAAGUCUAAUGGUGUUGAGUACUUUACUGCAGAGAACAUAAAGCAAAUGUCACAAAUGUUAAUGUUUCCCAGACAAGGCCAAGAGAUUUUUCAUCUAGCAUUGUGUAGACAGGUGGGAAAGGAUUAUAAGUGAAUUUCAUGCCAAAGGAUGGUGCAUCAAAGGAAGUUCUUGUAGGUUCCAUCACGUGAAGGAGGAAGCUAUGGAAGCAUCAAAACAGAAAUUAUUGUCUAGCAGUAUACAGUACCCAACUGGUCAUGUAACCAGGAUACCUUCUGAUGGUUGGGAGUCAUCUGUUCCUUUUUGCCCAUCAAACUUCAUAACUUAAAAGUUAUUAUCUCAAGCAAAUUUGUAUAGACCCAUUCAUCAUGGCAUUGAGCCAACAAAUGUUAGAUAUGGGACUAAAAGUUUUCUUGUGGAGGCAAUCUACAAUCAAAAGGAGACAAGGAUCCAAACGCGAUUGUAUUGAGUUCUAAUCGUGAUUCAGGAACGCAAGGUGAACCAAUGCACAAGACUGGACCACAAGAAGAUAAAGUCACAUAAAAAAUGAGAUUGUUAUUGAAUUUAAGAACAGUGGAUAUGUGCAGAAAGGUUCUUAAGAACAGCCACGACACACGCUAAAGGAUUCAAAAGAACUGAGAAAUUUUCACAAAGUGAGAGUGAAGAAGGCACUUGACAAAGUUCUUAGCCCAUUUAUACGAUACCAAAUUCCUAACACAGGCGAACCAAUUAAGUCGUAUAUUUAUGUGUCUAUGCCCAAACUUGAAAAGCUAAUUGAGGAAUAUAUAGUAGUAUGAGAUUGGUCUCUCUAGCAUAUCCUGUAAUUUCUCCCUAUUAGAGUGCAUUAUCAUGCCUUUUUUUUUUUUUGGAAGGCUAAGACCAUGACUUCUGAAAUGCUUAAAGUUUUGAUUUCAAGAUGUCCAAUUUUAUGGAUAAAACUUUGAUCCUCUUUACUAUGGAAGUGUAAGUGUUUUGUCUAUAUAUAAUUUGAAUUUGAAUUUUCUUUAAAACAAAAUUAGUUCUGAAUCCUGAAGUAAUGUUUACUGGGUAGCAGUCAUCUUCAUUACAUUAUAAAUGAAGAACUUUGAGUUUCAUUAUGCUUACUAGAACAAUCUAAUAGCUUUAUUUCAAAUAAUUGGGGAUUUUUACUAUGAAUAAUAGCCUCUUGAAGUGAAUUAAUGCAAAUCUUAUUGGCUGAAAAUAGCAUGGCCAUGAACCUCUUACUAAAAUUUAAUGCUCACCAAACCGUGGCAUGCGCCAUACAACACCCAAGUAGAUUCAUAGAAAGAAUGAUAAAACAAAAUCACCACAGAACUUAUACAAAGAGCCCAAGAUACCUCUAUAGUUAAGAUGACAACCAAUAACCACAAAAUAUGACAAAUUAAGGUGGUAUAAUUCAGGCAGUUUGCAUGUUAUUAAGAAUUUCAGUGUACCAUUUAAAUGGACUUCGGCAAGACCAAGGAGUUCCCUACUUCGAAUAGAACUCCAAUCAUGAAUAGGGGAUGAAUGAUUUACAGGGGAUUAUCGAAGAUUUUGAGUAAAUUAAGAAUUGCAAAAAUGGCGCAAGGUUUGGUGAGCAGUGAAUUACAAUAAGAGUUUCACUGCCACAUCAUUCAAGGCAAAGGGAGUUGGCUCAAUUUUCAAUAAUUCACUUCAAGUGGCUUAUUUAUAAAGCCAAACUUGCACAUUUGUUGCACGUAAUACAAAGCCAUGUAGCACAUUUGUUGCACGAAGUACAAAACUAAACUUGCACAUUUGUUGCACAAAGUACAAAGCCAAACUUGCACAUUUGUUGCACGAAGUACAUUAAGAAACAGGAGAGAGUUCUUUGAAUGUGAAGCCCCAUCUAGGGGAUUAUUGGGUAGCAGAAAAUAAAUUGGAGCAUAACAUGCAAGCUCAACCCCGUAGGAAGGGUACCAUACAACGGUAGAAUCUCUUGCUCGCUCGAUGUUCAAAGAAGGGUAAUUGCAUUAGUAAAUAUAAAUUACUAUUUAAAGUUUAAAAAAAAAUUAUAAAUGUUUUAUAACAUAACAUUUUUAUAUUAUAUCAUCAUAUCAAACAACAUGUAGUUUACAUAAAUGCAACAUUAGUUUCAAAAAAGAUCUUAAUCACAAAGAAAGUUUUAUCUUAGAAAAUUCUUGUCAUUGUCCCAUGAAAGCCAUAACAAAUGCCAGUAACAGUUCCAGAGAGAACAUGUAAAAGAUCACAGAAACAUGAAGGAAAUGCUGUAUUCUUUCUUGCUCCAAAAUUGAGACGUAGCUCAACUCUCAAAUCCCUUGUCUAUAUUCCAUCUCCUAUUGCUAUCUAAUCCCUAUAUUAGCUUCUUUAUCAAAUUUUGUGUCCAUCAGCUACCACUUCUCUUUCUGUUAUACCGUCUCUCUUUCUUCAAUUCUAAAUCUCAACUGAUUUCUGCAUAUAUAGCAGUAAGUGGAUAUUGCUCAACUUUUUUCUAUUCUUCUCUGAUUUCACAAUAGGGUUCCUGGGAUUUUCCUAAUCAAAGUCCAGAGAAAAAACUGAGCAUUUUGUUUUUUGAUUCACAUUGUUAUACUGGUGUCCAUCCCCUUCGAAAAAUUUAAGCUGGUUUCUGUUUUAAUGUGUUAAAAGUAUAAAUUCAGAUUCAAAAUUUGCAUUUAAAACUUUUGCAUUUUCAGUUUAAAAAAUGUCCCGUUUGGGGGUUUAAGUGAUAUCUUUUAUUAGAAUUUUUAAUGAGUCGAGUUCGAAUUGGAUAGCUGAAUUUUAGAGCAGCUGGCCUUCUGCUUUUGCAGGAGAACAAUUGCAGCUUCUUCGACAGUCUUCUGCAUUACAGUAGUAACUAUAAGCUAUACAAGUAUAAUUAAUGUAGAAAUAUUUCUUCUCUUAAUUCUAGUUAAUUUUGUUCCAUGAGUAUGAUUACAUGAAUUCUUGAAUGCCGGUUAAUUUUUAGCAAGUGAAGCUGGUAAUUUCUUAUAUUUAAGGCUUAUUAUGGGUGUUUAGAUCUUGGCAUGCAUGACCAAGAUUGUAAAACUUAUUGCUUAGAGAAUAUUUAUUCGUUUUCAAUGAUUUUCUACUCAGAUUAUGCGUUUGUUGGGAAAAUUUAAAACUAAUAUUGAUUAUUUGCAUAGCUCCCAGAAUCCUCGUGUCCUGUCUCUUGAAAAUGUGUAAGCCUACUCUUUUCUCCAAGUUGCUUCUGAAUACUGGCU
rnacentral:lncRNA from 1 species